GGCUGUCAGCACCCGAAGGGGUUCCCAGGCCGUCACCGACCCUAGUACUAACCGGGCCUUACCACGUUUGACUUCGGAGAUCGGACGGGAUCCGGUAUUUUCGUGGUAGUAUGGCCGA
rnacentral:rRNA from 1 species